rnacentral:rRNA from 1 species
UACGUAGGGCGCAAGCGUUGUCCGGAAUUAUUGGGCGUAAAGAGCUCGUAGGCGGCUUGUCACGUCGAUUGUGAAAGCCCGAGGCUUAACCUCGGGUCUGCAGUCGAUACGGGCUAGCUAGAGUGUGGUAGGGGAGAUCGGAAUUUCUGGUGUAGCGGUGAAAUGCGCAGAUAUCAGGAGGAACACCGGUGGCGAAGGCGGAUCUCUGGGCCAUUACUGACGCUGAGGAGCGAAAGCGUGGGGAGCGAACAGG